UGCUUUUCUGCUGUAGUGCCACUGGUGACGCUGUAAUUUGGCAUUCAGCUGUUUCAACGCGGCCACCGGAAAUUGGACGACCUUGUUAGGAAAGUAAUAUAAAGCAUCUGAUGCUGUUCUUAUGAAUCUGAGUGACGCUUUAAUCGUGUUGUACUGUCGUCGAUGUGAAUCCGUGUGUAUUUCUGAUCGUUUGUUAAAUCCCUAUCACCACGAACGGUGCUGUUUAUGACGACGAGGCAUUUUAUUUUGAAGGAUUUGAUUUGCCCGGAGACAACAGCUGUGAAUUAUGACGACUUGACACUAAAAAUAGCAGCGUCCGACUUUGUUCCCUGACAAGAACAGUUCCUGCUUCUCUUACCAAACAAGACAAAUCAUCACCUCAUCAACAGCAGGACGGAUGUUCUUCAUCAUCGUCACCAUCACCCUCUCAUUAACGCCUGACACCUGGAGUGCAGUGGGUCCAGUACGCAGCGGAUGCAGCCAGUGUCCGGCUGCAGGCGACCCUCUCGAUGGUCUCUCCCACCAUGAAAGCGGUGGUGGAUGUCGUGUGGGCGGUGUGGAGCAUCGGGGCCUCCAUCUAUGACUACAUCCACACCAACGCCAUGGAAGAGCGCAUCCACGCCCUGGAGCACGUCAUCACCAUCCACCAGUGUGUGAUCGGACUGCUGUCUGCUGGAGUUCUGGUACUCUUCACUUACAUCGUCUUCAAAAAGCUCUGAGCUGGUGUGAAAUGGUGGUGGGAUUGUUAUUGAACAUGGUGAAGCAAUCACUGAGCAGACUUUACACUGGAGGACAUGUCUUUAAACAGUUAAACACUUUUAAAAUCUUUACAGUUUCACCCUUUUCAUAAGUCGUUCAUGCUCUCUAUGUAGUGAUUGUGGAGAAGGGGACCAUGUAGAAUGUUUAAACGCCAGCUUUUGUAACUGGCAGUCACUAUCUUUCAAUUUUUCCCAUUAAAGCACUAAAAUGAAUAAUUAUCCCCCUAUUAAUUUGAAUUCCUACUUCCAUUUACCUGACUAAGCAGUUUAUUGCAGCUUUUGUUAGAUGAAGAUUCCUCAGGUUUGCUAUCUCAUAAUUAAAAAAGCAAAUCAGUAAAUUAGGAGAGUCCUACACAAUGUUUUCAGUGUGUGUCCAUGGCCUGGACAGCAGAAUUUAGUCAUUUCAUAAAGGGAUUAGUAUUGGAAAUAAUAAUUUGCCACCACAACUUCUGCCUUAAUGCACAGUCUGUUUUCACACCCAUCAAAUUAGUGAUGAUGUGUAUGGAGUGUAAUAUUUAGUGUAUUUCUCUAAUUAUGGAUCAUAUGGAAUCAUAAUCAUAUCGAUCCCUAAUGAAUGUUCCUUUCAAUAAAGCAUUUAAAGUCGUA